UGGGAGACGCCGCUUCCUGGUUUCCUGUCUUGGCUAAAGGGCUCGUCUACGAUCCUUCCAGCUCGGUCGUCGCUCGCUAUCUCCUCCAUUUGGGCCAGCAUCUCCGGGUCAAGGUGCCAGAUUGAUGUUUCCUCGUCGCUGGGAAAAGACGAGCUCCGUGUUUAUGGAUCCAUCCAGAACGUUCCCGGCUGCACAAUCGGCUGAAUUGCUUCAAUAUGGCGACCAUGGAGGCGGCACGCCCCCCCAACCACGUCUUUGUCUUACCUGACCCCCCCACACCCGAGAGGCCUGAGGUAUUAUCCUCUCAGUUGGAUGCUCACAGGCAAGCCGGAGGAGGUGGGGGCGUGCUGGCCAAUACUGGUGAUUAUUUAGCAAUAGAUGGGGGUGGGGGCCCGUGGGGGCCCUGCCACCUGUGGGGGCUACCUACGCCAUCUGUUGCAGUCACGGCCGUGGAGUCCAGAGACCCGACAGCCUUCAACCCGGUCCAAGAACGUUAAUGGUGCGGCACUGAUGCAUAUUAGACAUCAUUAGAUAUGCAUCUGCGUAUCUUUCCGACAUGAUGCCGAGGGUGUCCAAGAUGCGGCACGGGGCCAUUUAUAAUCUAAUAUAUAAAUAUAUAUGAAUAUAAUAGUGGCUGCACAGUGGUUAGUGUGUAGGCUACACAGCUAGGAGACCUAAGUUCGAUUCCACCCUCGGGCAUUUCUGUGUGGAGUUUGCAUAAGAAGUAGAAAGUGAAUUAAAUAUAAU